rnacentral:rRNA from 1 species
GAUGAACGCUGGCGGCGUGCCUAACACAUGCAAGUCGAACGGAGUCCAGCCUUUAAGACCUUCGGGUCAAAGAGGGGAAGACUGAGUGGCGGACGGGUGAGUAACACGUGGGCAACCUGGCUCAUAGAGGGGGAUAACAGAGAGAAAUUUCUGCUAAUACCGCAUAAGCACACACUGCCGCAUGGCAGAGGGUGAAAAGAGAAUCGCUAUGAGAUGGACCCGCGUCUGAUUAGCCAGUUGGCAGGGUAAGAGCCUACCAAAGCGACCAUCAGUAGCCGAUCUGAGAGGAUGAACGGCCACAUUGGGACUGAGACACGGCCCAAACUCCUACGGGAGGCAGCAGUGGGGGAUAUUGCACAAUGGGGGGAACCCUGAUGCAGCGACGCCGCGUGAGUGAAGAAGUAUUUCGGUAUGUAAAGCUCUAUCAGCAGGGAAGAUAAUGACAGUACCUGAAUAAGAAGCCCCGGCUAACUACGUG